GCCUGCAGCCAAAGCAGAUCGGCCUGUGAUCUUGUCAGAUUUCACAAGUAAGCAGUGUCAGGCCUGGUUAGUAUAUGAAUGAGAGACCUCGAGGAGGAAAAAGAAAACAAUAUGGUGCUGCAGGAA
ensembl:rRNA 5S_rRNA 5S ribosomal RNA